UUUUUGCUUCUGCUCUCUGAGUGAGCGCCCAGGCUCCGAGCGUCCCGGCUAGUUCUCUCCGGCCUGUCGCUGCCAACUUUUAGAAGCUGUUUGGUUAUGUGAGUGAAAAGCUGACUGAAGUGGCCUGAGAAAUGAGUUGAGGAAGCAAGGAGGGACCGCUUGUGCUGACGCCCGCCGCGGGCGAAGAUGGCUCUGAGCGCCAUCUUCUGAGAAGCCUCCUCGCCGUGACAGUGAAGUGGAGGAAGAAGCGAAUGCGCAGGCUGAAGUGCAAAAG